AGAACGCUGGCGGCGUGCCUAACACAUGCAAGUCGAACGAAGCGAUUAGGAUGAAGUUUUCGGAUGGAUUCCUGGUUGACUGAGUGGCGGACGGGUGAGUAACGCGUGGAUAACCUGCCUCACACUGGGGGAUAACAGUUAGAAAUGGCUGCUAAUACCGCAUAAGCGCACAGUACCGCAUGGUACGGUGUGAAAAACCCAGGUGGUGUGAGAUGGAUCCGCGUCUGAUUAGCCAGUUGGCGGGGUAACGGCCCACCAAAGCGACGAUCAGUAGCCGACCUGAGAGGGUGACCGGCCACAUUGGGACUGAGACACGGCCCAAACUCCUACGGGAGGCAGCAGUGGGGAAUAUUGCACAGUGGGCGCAAGCCUGAUGCAGCGACGCCGCGUGAGUGAAGAAGUAUCUCGGUAUGUAAAGCUCUAUCAGCAGGGAAGAAAAUGACGGUACCUGACUAAGAAGCCCCGGCUAACUACGUGCCAGCAGCCGCGGUAAUACGUAGGGGGCAAGCGUUAUCCGGAUUUACUGGGUGU
rnacentral:rRNA from 1 species